AUUGAACGCUGGCGGAAUGCUUUACACAUGCAAGUUGAACGGCAGCACGGACUUCGGUCUGGUGGCGAGUGGCGAACGGGUGAGUAAUGUAUCGGAACGUGCCCAGUCGUGGGGGAUAACGUAGUGAAAGUUACGCUAAUACCGCAUACGAUCUAUGGAUGAAAGCGGGGGAUCGCAAGACCUCGCGCGAUUGGAGCGGCCGAUAUCAGAUUAGGUAGUUGGUGGGGUAAAGGCCCACCAAGCCAACGAUCUGUAGCUGGUCUGAGAGGGCGACCGGCCACACUGGAACUGAGGCACGGUCCAGACUCCUACGGGAGGCAGCAGUGGGGAAUUUUGGACAAUGGGCGAAAGCCUGAUCCAGCCAUUCCGCGUGCAGGAUGAAGGCCCUCGGGUUGUAAAUUGCUUUUGUCCAGAACGAAAAGGUUUCUACUAAUACUAGGAGCUCAUGACGGUACUGUAAGAAUAAGCACCGGCUAACUACGUGCCAGCAGCCGCCGUAA
rnacentral:rRNA from 1 species